rnacentral:ncRNA from 1 species
GUUAGGGGUGGUGGCUUGGCUGCCUGAGAGAAAACCCUUGGAACCUGAUCCGGAUAAUGCCGGCGCAGGAAAACG